AUGAUACGCGAGGAACCUUACCCGGGCUUGAAUUGCAGAGGAAGGAUUUAGAGAUAAUGACGCCCUUCGGGGCCUCUGUGAAGGUGCUGCAUGGUUGUCGUCAGCUCGUGCCGUGAGGUGUCGGCUUAAGUGCCAUAACGAGCGCAACCCCUGUCUACGGUUGCCAUCAGGUAAUGCUGGGAACUCCGUAGAGACUGCCGUCGUAAGGCGUGAGGAAGGUGGGGAUGACGUCAAAUCAGCACGGCCCUUACAUCCGGGGCUACACACGUGUUACAAUGGCCGGUACAGAGGGAUGGUGUAAUGUAAAUUGCAUCAAAUCUUAAAAGCCGGUCCCAGUUCGGACUGAGGUCUGCAACCCGACCUCACGAAGCUGGAUUCGCUAGUAAUCGCGCAUCAGCCAUGGCGCGGUGAAUACGUUCCCGGGCCUUGUACACACCGCCCGUCAAGCCAUGGGAGUCUGGAGUACCUAAAGUCCGUAACCGCAAGGGUCGGCCUAGGGUAAUACAGGUGACUGGGGCUAAGUCGUAACAAGGUAGCCGUACCGGAAGGUGCGGCUGGAACACCUCCUUUCUGGAG
rnacentral:rRNA from 1 species